GGCUCAGGACGAACGCUGGCGGCAUGCCUAAUACAUGCAAGUCGAGCGGACUUGAWGAGAAGCUUGCUUCUYUGAURGUUAGCGGCGGACGGGUGAGUAACACGUAGGCAACCUGCCCUCAAGUUUGGGACAACUACCGGAAACGGUAGCUAAUACCGAAUAAUUGUUUUCUUCGCCUGAAGRRAACUGGAAAGACGGAGCAAUCUGUCACUUGGGGAUGGGCCUGCGGCGCAUUAGCUAGUUGGUGAGGUAACGGCUCACCAAGGCGACGAUGCGUAGCCGACCUGAGAGGGUGAUCGGCCACACUGGGACUGAGACACGGCCCAGACUCCUACGGGAGGCAGCAGUAGGGAAUCUUCCGCAAUGGGCGAAAGCCUGACGGAGCAAUGCCGCGUGAGUGAUGAAGGUUUUCGGAUCGUAAAGCUCUGUUGCCAGGGAAGAACGCUUGGGAGAGUAACUGCUCUCAAGGUGACGGUA
rnacentral:rRNA from 1 species